rnacentral:misc_RNA from 1 species
CAUUAUCGUAUAACGGAGGUGCCGGGGCUGUCGCUGACUUUGUGCACGCUCCGGUGCUCUCUUACAAUCCAUCUCACCCCUUUGUGAAUCACCGCGUGGGUGCUCUCCUUUUGGUUUGUUCCAAAAGGGGGCAUUUGCGUUUUUAUACAAAACCACUGCAUGUGUAGAAUGUCUUACUAUUUGUGAUAAUGCACAAUCAAUACAACUUUCAACAACGGAUCUCUUGGCUCUCGCAUCGAUGAAGAACGCAGCGAAAUGCGAUACGUAAUGUGAAUUGCAGAAUUCAGUGAAUCAUCGAAUCUUUGAACGCACCUUGCGCCCCUUGGAAUUCCGAGGGGCACACCCGUUUGAGUGUCGUGAACAUCCUUCAACCUUUCUUGGUUUCUUGACCAGGGAAGGCUUGGACU